rnacentral:rRNA from 1 species
AGAGCGAACGCUGGCGGCAGGCUUAACACAUGCAAGUCGAGCGCCCCGCAAGGGGAGCGGCAGACGGGUGAGUAACGCGUGGGAACGUACCUUUGGUUCGGAACAACACAGGGAAACUUGUGCUAAUACCGGAUAAGCCCUUACGGGGAAAGAUUUAUCGCCGAAAGAUCGGCCCGCGUCUGAUUAGCUAGUUGGUGAGGUAACGGCUCACCAAGGCGACGAUCAGUAGCUGGUCUGAGAGGAUGAUCAGCCACAUUGGGACUGAGACACGGCCCAAACUCCUACGGGAGGCAGCAGUGGGGAAUAUUGGACAAUGGGCGCAAGCCUGAUCCAGCCAUGCCGCGUGAGUGAUGAAGGCCCUAGGGUUGUAAAGCUCUUUUAACGGGGAAGAUAAUGACGGUACCGUAGAAUAAGCCCCGGCUAACUUCGCGCCAGCAGCCGC